rnacentral:rRNA from 1 species
ACAGUUUGAUCCUGGCUCAGGACGAACGCUGGCGGCGUGCCUAACACAUGCAAGUCGAGCGGAGGUAUGAUGUAGUUUANNNCUGAUUAUCUUAGCGGCGGACGGGUGAGUAACACGUGGGCAACCUGCCUCAGAGUGGGGGAUAACACCGAGAAAUCGGUGCUAAUACCGCAUAACAUACAUUGGCUGCAUGGCCGAUGUAUCAAAGGAGUAAUCCGCUUUGAGAUGGGCCCGCGGCUGAUUAGCUAGUUGGUGAGGUAAUGGCUCACCAAGGCGACGAUCAGUAGCCGACCUGAGAGGGUGACCGGCCACACUGGAACUGAGACACGGUCCAGACUCCUACGGGAGGCAGCAGUGGGGAAUAUUGCGCAAUGGGGGAAACCCUGACGCAGCAACGCCGCGUGGAGGAAGAAGGUCUUCGGAUUGUAAACUCCUGUCUUCAGGGACGAAUAAAUGACGGUACCUGAGGAGGAAGCCACGGCUAACUACGUGCCAGCAGCCGCGGUAAUACGUAGGUGGCGAGCGUUGUCCGGAAUUACUGGGCGUAAAGGGCGCGUAGGCGGCUCUUUAAGUCAGAUGUGAAAACCCAGGGCUUAACUCUGGGACUGCAUUUGAAACUGAAGGGCUUGAGUGCAGGAGAGGUAAGUGGAAUUCCUAGUGUAGCGGUGAAAUGCGUAGAUAUUAGGAGGAACACCAGUGGCGAAGGCGACUUACUGGACUGUAACUGACGCUGAGGCGCGAAAGCGUGGGGAGCAAAC